rnacentral:sRNA from 1 species
UUCAGGCAAUAUGGGGCUUAGGUCCGUUA